GAAAGCCGUGUGCAAUGAAAAGUGCAAGCACGGUUUGGGGAGGGAUUUUUUAUCCUAUUUCAACAAGGAAAUUCUCUACUCCAU
rnacentral:ncRNA from 1 species